AUGAAGUUGAACGUCGGUGGACUGUGCUGGUGCAACCACACAUGUGCACGUCCCCGGCAAACCAAUCCACACACCUUGUGCACAUCUAGACUAACAGAGGUUCGUCAGGACUUGUCCCGAUUGGAGCCUCUGCUGGUACUUUUUCACACACUCGUAUGUUUGUUGGGAUGUCUGAGUGCUCUUAAGCACGCUAACUAUAAUA
rnacentral:misc_RNA from 1 species